CCUGCUCUCUCGCUUCUGACGCUCUCAGCGCGCGCGCACACGCCAUUGCUGCACAGAAGCCAGCAUCAACUCACCCACUCACGCACAUACACGCACACACACACACACAUAGAGCGGAGCCUGCACCUUGAAACAACAGAGCGGCUCACUAGAGAGACAGCCAUCUAUUUAAAUUGAUACUCCAUCGUCGUUGAGAAAUCAAAUCUGAGAUUCUAGAGGUAAAGAACAUUUCCAUGUGGGAAAAGAACACAUUUCGUAUUGUUUGUGCCUUUUGCUUUCAAUUGAAGAACGUACUCUGAGCAGAGGGGUUGCCUUCAAGUUUGGAACCAUUUGGGAACAAGAACAUUCCAGGGUACAAAUUUUGGACGCAGAUAGACAUCAGAGAGAGCAGGGCCUAAGUCAUACCGCCGGUGUGUUCACAGUCAACUUGUUGGUCAGCCAGUGUGUAACCAGCCAACUCGUACGUCAGCGCAACUGUCUGGAGUAUUCUUGUACCGUUCCAAAUUCAACCAGGAACUAAAGAGCCAUCAUGAACACAGUCCUCGUAUCCCUGCUGCUGUGUGCCGUGCUGGGAGUAGCCUCAUCCUAUUGGCUCGGAGGAGCUGGCGCUCUCAGAGACGAGGACGGUGACUUCGACUCUUACCAAGAAUACAAAAGAUGCACUGUCUGGGGCAAUAACUGCCGGUGCGAGUCCCGACUGGGCCGGUAAGGAGGUAAAACUUUCCCCCGCGCUGUCCUGGCACUUGGUGUCACGUGCUUUGAUGGCAGAUGUGACGUCAGUACUUCGCUAUGGAUGACCCUCUCUUCGGACAGCUAGUUUGAACAAGUAUACAAGUAUUACCCAUUGAUUAAAUGAAUAUGCAUCUUACAGUGUCCAUGUCAGUAGGAACCACCUGCAUUGCUCACACAUUUAAGAUAAGAUUAUGCGAAGGUGAAAAAUCAUAGUUCGUUCUCCAAAAGUGUGUAGUGUUCACUUUUCUUACUUGACUUCUUGAGAUAAAACAUUCCAAAUUCUCUACGAAGAUAAAAAAAAAGGUAAUAAUUUCCCUAAUUUGAAUUUUAAGUAAUGUUGUGAUAUUCAAACCCCUAGUUUCCGUGAGCCAUCAUAUUCCACCCAAAACACACCAGCCCCCCCCAAAAAAAAAAUUGUGCGAAAAGCCUUAAAUAUAAUCAUUUAUUCAAACGCUUCAAUUAAAAUUUCGCUACUUAUACAUUGAAA